rnacentral:lncRNA from 1 species
ACUUUGUAAUAACAGCUUUUUGUUCCUCCUACAGCUUUACCAGAAGAGAAAGAGUUACAGAGGAUAUUUUGUAUAAUAAUUUUGUAUACCUGGAAAUACGGAAGCAUAUUUCUCUAGGAUAUUUCACUGCAAGCUGUGAAAAGAUACUUUAUGAGUAAGCUGAGUCAGUCAAGUGACAAGAGCCAAUGUAGAAGAAAUGGGAGUCUUUGAUCACCAUUUCCUGUACAUGCCCUGUAGUGGUACGACUGAGCAAUAAGCCGAAUGAGUGCAUUGAUCUCAGACAAAAGAGAAAUGAAACAUCGUCUUUGAAAUAUCCAAGUUUGCUUCAUUGGUACUCAGAUACUAAAGAAAGGAAGAUGUAAGAGAAAGCACCAAAGGGCUGGAUAACAGAAAUGGAAAUCCGGGAUUGCAGCCAGUGGACUUUUGUGCCGAAAGCCUGUGAGUAAAUUUCAACUACCCUGCAGGAAGGCCUGAAGGGGGAUUAGGAAGCAUCUUGGCCCAAAUCCAUAGAUGGAAGUUUAGUACAGAUUUAUAAUUGAAUUGGCAGCCUGUAAACAGUGUCUUGGCUUACUGAUCUAAAGUAUAAAUAGUCAGUGUGUAAGGAUCCUAGAGCAGUUGCGUACCUAU